rnacentral:lncRNA from 1 species
AUGUCCCACAUCUGUGGCAGCACUAAACUGGCUCAGCUGGCAGGUAAGACCCUUUGCUACAGUGGGAGGGAGCUGCCCUGGCUCUCCCUGGGAGCAUCCACAGUGCUGGGGAUAAAGCAAGCCACGGUGCAGCAGGGCUGGGCUGCACCCAGCAGAAAGCAGCUGCUCUCUGUGCCUGCCUGUCAGAGCAGAGGUCCCCAUGGAUCCCAGCAGCCAAGGGUCCCCAUUUGGCUUUCCAGCACUGGCACCUCCUGCUUUCUCAGGCUGCAGUUUCCAAGCGAUACUGUGAAAGAAAAGCCACCAAUGUCAUCUCCCUGCCCUGCCUGCGCAGGCGAGGGCAGGGGCCUUUCCCAUCACUGUCCACGCUUGGUUCCCUGCAUUUUGGUCAAGGCCAUGAGGGUGGUGGUGCUUCUUUUGUUCAGAGUUCAGACUCCAGUCCAGCACCUGCUCUCGACAGCAACAGCAGCAGAUCCUCCCCACAGCAUCCUCACCAAAGCAGAUCAGCACAUCAGGCUCAGUUUAUACACACUGUUGCCUUUAUACUUUUAUUUCUUCCCCGUUUUGGUGUUUUCCUGGAGAGCAGGAGAAAACCAUUUCCCUGGUCAGGGUGCCAGUAGCACUCAGCACAAACCCUGCAGAGACUGGGACCCCCCUCAGGCGAUUGGGAAGCACACAGUUGUGCAUGGCAAUCCAAAAACCUCAGUUCAGGAGCCUUCCUGUUGCAACUGAGCCACCAUAAGAGGCAGCCUCACCCCUGCUCCUGCCACCAAAGAGUCUGGCUCUUCUGAGAAUUAGCAGUUCGCCAAACUAGCAGGAAAUUAACCCAGCCCCACACUAGCUGAAGAAGUAAGUAAAUUUUUAUCAGUUCAGCAAGCUGAGCAAAACAGCCAGCUUAGCUGCUGCUUCACAUUCCAUUUCUUAAUCCCCAUUUUAACCCUUUUAUCACUGUGUACCUGUUUAGCUGCGGGGCCUGUGGAGGGAAGCCCUGCUCUGGUGCAGCCCCCGCAGCAGCACUGCUCUGCUGGCAGAGCCACUGCUGCUGCAGUGACUGUCACUGGGCAGGCACAGCCCCGAAGGGAGCUCAGAACUCUAGAGCUGUGCUUGCCAGCUGUGCCCAGCAGGGAAGGAGCUUCCCGGCCUCUGGGACACCCUUGGACACCCAGGGCAGGCCCUGUAAGGCAGCCACGGC